rnacentral:rRNA from 1 species
GAUGAACGCUGGCGGCGUGCCUAAUACAUGCAAGUCGAGCGAACAGACGAGGAGCUUGCUCCUCUGACGUUAGCGGCGGACGGGUGAGUAACACGUAGAUAACCUACCUAUAAGACUGGGAUAACUUCGGGAAACCGGAGCUAAUACCGGAUAAUAUAUUGAACCGCAGGGUUCAAUAGUGAAAGACGGUUUUGCUGUCACUUAGAGAUGGAUCCGCGCCGCAUUAGCUAGUUGGUAAGGUAACGGCUUACCAAGGCGACGAUGCGUAGCCGACCUGAGAGGGUGAUCGGCCACACUGGAACUGAGACACGGUCCAGACUCCUACGGGAGGCAGCAGUAGGGAAUCUUGCGCAAUGGGCGCAAGCCUGACGGAGCCACGCCGCGUGCGUGAUGAAGGUCUUCGGAUCGUAAACCUCUUUUAUUAGGGAAGAACAAAUGUGUAAGUAACCCUGCACGUCUUGACGGUACCUAAUCAGAAAGCCCCGGCUAACUACGUG